AUUGGAGGGCAAGUCUGGUGCCAGCAGCCGCGGUAAUUCCAGCUCCAAAAGCGUAUAUUAAAGUUGUUGCAGUUAAAAAGCUCGUAGUUGAACCUUGGGCUUGGUUGGCCGGUCCAUCUUUCUGAUGCGUACUGGACCCAACCGAGCCUUUCCUUCUGGCUAGCCUUUUGGCGAACCAGGACUUUUACUUUGAAAAAAUUAGAGUGUUCAAAGCAGGCCUUUGCUCGAAUAUAUUAGCAUGGAAUAAUAGAAUAGGACGUUAUGGUUCUAUUUUGUUGGUUUCUAGGACCAUCGUAAUGAUUAAUAGGGACGGUCGGGGGUAUCAGUAUUCAGUUGUCAGAGGUGAAAUUCUUGGAUUUACUGAAGACUAACUACUGCGAAAGCAUUUACCAAGGACGUUUUCAUUAAUCAAGAACGAAAGUUAGGGGAUCGAAGAUGAUCAGAUACCGUCGUAGUCUUAACCAUAAACUAUGCCGACUAGGGAUCGG
rnacentral:rRNA from 2 species